CAACCCUCAGGCCCCGCCUGGCGUUGGGGAUCGGCGCGGCCCUCUCCGGGCUGCCGGCCCCGAAAACUAGUGGCGGUCUCGCUGUAGUCCUCCUCUGCGCAGUAGCAACGCUCGCACUGGAACUCGGCGCGGCCACGCCGUAAAACACCCCACUUCUGAA
rnacentral:misc_RNA from 1 species